CAAUAAUUAGUUUAAUUAAAAUUUCAAUUUUGGGUAUUGAAGAUAUUUAAGAAAUAUUAUUGA
rnacentral:tRNA from 1 species